UUCUAGCCCUGAUGGAAGCGGCAUCCUUGGUAGGUCUCUUCUUUAGAGAGCAAGCAAGAUAUAGCGUACAGCAGGACACAAG
rnacentral:sRNA from 1 species